AUGAACGCUAGCGGCUAGGCUUAACACAUGCAAGUCGAGGGGUAUGCCGAUUUAUCGGCAGAGACCGGCGCACGGUGCGUAACGCGUAUGCAAUCUACCUUUCACAGAGGGAUAGCCCAGAGAAAUUUGGAUUAAUACCUCAUAGUAUAGCAGUUUCGCAUGAAACCACUAUUAAAGUUCCAACGGUGAAAGAUGAGCAUGCGUCCCAUUAGCUAGAUGGUAAGGUAACGGCUUACCAUGGCUACGAUGGGUAGGGGUCCUGAGAGGGAGAUCCCCCACACUGGUACUGAGACACGGACCAGACUCCCUACGGGAGGCAGCAGUGAGGAAUAUUGGUCAAUGGACGCAAGUCUGAACCAGCCAUGCCGCGUGCAGGAUGACGGUCCUAUGGAUUGUAAACUGCUUUUGUACGAGAAGAAACAACAUUACGUGUAAUGUCUUGACGGUAUCGUAAGAAUAAGGAUCGGCUAACUCCGUG
rnacentral:rRNA from 1 species